UACGGAGGGGGCUAGCGUUGUUCGGAAUUACUGGGCGUAAAGCGCGCGUAGGCGGCUUUGCAAGUCGGGUGUGAAAUCCCCAGGCUUAACCUGGGAACUGCAUUUGAGACUGCAUUGCUAGAGUAUGGGAGAGGGAAGUGGAAUUUCCGGUGUAGCGGUGAAAUGCGUAGAUAUCGGAAGGAAAAUCAGUGGCGAAAGCGACUUCCUGGACCAAUACUGACGCUCAUGUGCGAAAGCGUGGGGAGCAAACAGG
rnacentral:rRNA from 1 species